rnacentral:lncRNA from 1 species
AGUUUAUUUAUUUGUUGGUACACACAAUUUAGUUAUAAUGGAAGACUACUAAUCAUAUACUAAAUGUAACAUUUUAAAUUUUAUUUUAGUGAAUAAUUACUCAUCAAUUGAGGUGGUCCUGAUUUGGAGGAAGAUUCACAAAACAGAAUUUUACAGAAAAAAUGAAAAAAUCGUUUCUCUCCCAAUCUCUUGUAUCUCCACGAACUUUGUUUACUUUGAAAGAUGU